ACCUACGGGGGGCAGCAGUAGGGAAUCUUCCGCAAUGGGCGAAAGCCUGAUGGAGCAACGCCGCGUGGGUGAAGAAGGUCUUCGGAUCGUAAAACCCUGUUGUUAGAGAAGAAAGUGCGUGAGAGUAACUGUUCACGUUUCGACGGUAUCUAACCAGAAAGCCACGGCUAACUACGUGCCAGCAGCCGCGGUAAUACGUAGGUGGCAAGCGUUAUCCGGAUUUAUUGGGCGUAAAGGGAACGCAGGCGGUCUUUUAAGUCUGAUGUGAGAGCCUUCGGCUUAACCGGAGUAGUGCAUUGGAAACU
rnacentral:rRNA from 1 species